ACAAUGCUACCACUUACAGAUGGGUCCGCGUACCAUUAGCUAGUUGGUGGGGUAAUGGCCUACCAAGGCGACGAUGGUUAGCUGGUCUGAGAGGAUGAUCAGCCACACUGGAACUGAGACACGGUCCAGACUCCUACGGGAGGCAGCAGUGGGGAAUUUUGCGCAAUGGGGGAAACCCUGACGCAGCAACGCCGCGUGAGUGAUGAAGGCUUUCGGGUCGUAAAGCUCUGUCAGAGGGGAAGAAAAUGGAACUGGCUAAUAUCCAGGUUUCUUGACGGUACCCACAAAGGAAGCACCGGCUAACUCCGUGCCAGCAGCCGCGGUAAUACGGAGGGUGCAAGCGUUGUUCGGAAUUAUUGGGCGUAAAGCGCGUGUAGGCGGUUUGUUAAGUCUGGUGUGAAAGCCCUGGGCUCAACCUGGGAAGUGCAUUGGAUACUGGCAAACUUGAGUACGGGAGAGGAUAGUGGAAUUUCGAGUGUAGGGGUGAAAUCCGUAGAUAUUCGAAGGAACACCGGUGGCGAAGGCGGCUAUCUGGACCGAUACUGACGCUGAGACGCGAAAGCGUGGGGAGCAAACAGGAUUAGAUACCCUGGUAGUCCACGCCGUAAACGAUGGGUACUAGGUGUUGCGGGUAUUGACCCCUGCAGUGCCGAAGCUAACGCAUUAAGUGAUCCACCUGGGGAGUACGAUCGCAAGGUUGAAACUCAAAGGAAUUGACGGGGGCCCGCACAAGCGGUGGAGCAUGUGGUUUAAUUCGACGCAACGCGAAGAACCUUACCUGGGCUUAAAUGUAGGCUGCAUUCGGCUGAAAGGCUGAUUCCCUUCGGGGCUGCUUACAAGGUGCUGCAUGGUUGUCGUCAGCUCGUGCCGUGAGGUGUCGGGUUAAGUCCCAUAACGAGCGCAACCCUUAUCGUUAGUUGCCAGCGGGUCAAGCCGGGGACUCUAGCGAGACUGCCACCGUAAGGUGAGAGGAAGGUGGGGAUGACGUCAAAUCAGCACGGCCCUUAUGUCCAGGGCUACACACGUGCUACAAUGGCCGGUACAAAGGGCAGCUACCAGGUGACUGGAUGCGAAUCUUUAAAAUCGGUCUCAGUUCGGAUCGGAGUCUGCAACUCGACUCCGUGAAGUCGGAUUCGCUAGUAAUCGCAUAUCAGCCAUGGCGCGGUGAAUACGUUCCCGGGCCUUGUACACACCGCCCGUCAGACCAUGGGAGCUGGGGGUGCCUGAAGUCUGCCACCGCAAGGAGCGACCUAGGGUAAAACCAGU
rnacentral:rRNA from 1 species